rnacentral:lncRNA from 1 species
UAAAACUGCUAGUGUCGACUGAUAGAGGGAGAAAUUGGGCGAAAUUAGCUGUGAGUGAAAAUUUUCUUCAUUAACUACUAGAUUAGUAUGAAAUUGUGCGAAAUCGUUAUAGGUCAGUGUGAGUUUACUGAUAUUAUCGACUUUAGGGAGGUAUUCUGCGCUUUGAAGAUGAAUUGGUUUGUUCAAAAUCCAAACUGGAAUAUUACUACUCCCCCAUAUGGUAUGCUUCUUCUGACUACACCCCCAUAUGUUCGAAAUCCAAACUCCUUCCUUAUUUUGUACUAAUUUAUUUUUGUAUGAUUGAUACGAGCUACAGUGUAGUCCUGUCUAUCUAUCCAUAAAUCUCCCCAAUCUUAAUAGAAGUGAAUUUUGUUCCAAAUCAUUAAUAUGGUUAUUAGAUACUCAACUUUGCCUCUGAUAUUUCUUUUAAUUCAUAAAAUUGAACUACACAACUGGAAUAAAUUUACAAGUAAAAGAAACAAAUCUAAGAUAAAGAUGUGUGCUCCUAGCCUUUGAUUAAGGGUGUAAAUGAGUCGAACCGAAGUAAACAAAGAGUUACUCGAAUUUGACUCAAAACGUUAAAUUCAUACUCGAAUUCGAAUUGUAUUUAAAUUUUUUUACUCAGAUUCGACUAGACUCGAAUUCGAUCCUUCAAGUUUAAACUACUCGUGAGCUUCAAAUUCAAGCUCGAAUUCUCCACAUAACAAUUAACUUUAUAAUAAAUAAAAGUAUAAAUUGAAUUUUUUAUUUUACUUAGAAAUGAGAAAAUAUAUUUACUAUUACACUUUACAAAUAUAAAAUCACAAUUACAAUUAAAAAUUAAACAAAAUAAUAAUAAUUAAUUAACCUAAUUUGAUUUAAUUUUGUAUAUAUUAUAAGAGAAUGUAUCGAGUAUCUAAUUGAAUCUGUAUCAAUCAAGUAUGUAUCGAAUCACAAUUUGAGAAUUCGUGCAAUUUGAAUCUUAAACGAGUCGAGCAUGACCUUGCUCAGAUUCUAGUAUUAUACUCAUAUUUUUAUCCGAACUAUUUUUUAUUCUUGGAUCAUAUAAUUAACGAAUCUGAGUGUCGCUCGUAUUUUUUCGAAUCGAGCCCAAAUCGAGGCCUAUUUAGCUAGUUUACAGCUUUACCAGUGAUGAUGGAAAUCAACUUAGAAAAUGCCUCAAGGUUAGGAAUGGUGACGGUGUGGGUAUGAUUAGGGGGACCCCUCAUCAAAUUAUGCCUGCUUUAGAAACUUUAUUGCUCAUGCCCUGCACUUUUCUGUUCUGGACCCGCCCCAAUUUGUUGACACUGUUUACUCCUUACUAGGGAUGACAUUGGUGCGGUGGGUUAGUGGUUAUCAAGUGAUUUGGUAUCGCACCGAUCUUAAAAAAUUUGCACCAAAACGCACAACACCGGUCCCAGUUCAUAAAAUUGCUUUACCAAAAUCGCACCAAGCGGUUCAUUCUCCUGAACAACACUGCAUCGCACUACACCACACCACAACAACAAAUAAUUAUAAAAAAAAUUUUAUAAAUAUUUUAAGAAGUAAAACAACAUUAUAGAUUAAGAAUUUUCAUAACUUAACUAUAGUUUCAUAUAAGAAAACUAGAACAAGCAUUAUUAUGUACUAGUGGUAUUGCAUUUUUUUAAGGUAGAGUUUAGGGAUUCCAAACUCACUAACACUUAUUUUAUAUUUUAAUAUAUGUAUAAUACGUUGGAUCAAAAUCAGUGCACCACUGAUUCAUAUAUCCAUUGCAGUGCGGGGUGGUGCACCACUGUUUCAAGAGCAAAACCAGCACCACACCACUUUCGAUUUAUUUAUUUUUGCACCAAAAUCUCACCGGCCAAGUCUUUAGUUUGGCUAAAAAUCGGCUGAUACGAUUCAGUUUGACUGGUUUAAGUUCAAUUUUAGUUUAAAUUGUCAUUUAUAUUCCCCACCCAAUAUAUUGACUUUUUUUCCAUGAAUUUUAAUUGAAUUAUGUAUUAGUUUAAUUCUAAACUAAGAUUUGUAGGCUAACAAAAUGUUAAAGUCAAUAUAAUAUUUAAUUAUUGUUUCGUAUUUCCUCAACUUUUUUGAUGCUUACUUGGUGUUGUGUGAACAAUUGAAAAUUCAAGGAGCGCAGUAUUAUAUAUAUAUAUACACAGCCGAUCCAGUUCGGGAGUCUGGACUGGAGUAUAAAGACGGUACCAAUUUUUUUUUUGUUUUUUUGUUUUUUUUUUACCUUACACCUUUUUCGUUAGGAUCGGGUUCCAUUAUGUUGGAGAAAAUUGGUAAACCUAUGGAAGGUCAUACAUAAUAUUUGGCCCAUCCAAGCUAGUUUUGGAGCUCACUUAUUCCUUUACAUUUACAGUGGUAGCCUAAUUCUCCAAGUACUAUAAAUAUAAUAACUAAAUUCUACAGAAAAUGCAACACCUUAAUAAUUUGUUUCACCAGAAAAGGCUAUUUAAGUAGACACGGUUAGAAAAAUAAAAAUAUAUUUAAAUUUGUCUUUCAUUUUUUUUAUAUUAUCAGCUGCGUAAAUAAGUAUUAUUAACAAGUUUUAAAAAAUAACAUGUAAUAUGAUGGCCAUUCUUUUUUAUCAUAACCAAAGGCAUCGUCCCUCUUAGACAACUAAUAUAAGAUUUCACAUGGUCAACACAUUUCGAUGUCCAUUGGCCCAAUCGAUAUAUACCUUGUUGUGAGACAAUCUUUUUGGGCUUCUAAACACUUUAUAUCCACCAUAAAAAUAAAAAUAUAUGACUGAGCAAAAUUGUUCAUUUCCCUUCUUCAACUAAGUAUACAUUUAUCAUUAUUUGGGAACUAGAUCUUAAGAUUUUGUGUCAUAUCUGUUUCACAGAUCAGAUGCUUGAUCUAUUUGAAAAUUAAGCACCUUUAAGGGGUAUUUGUUUAGAGCUGAAUGGCUGAAUCGGUCAGUCAUUCAGUGCGUUUGUUUUGAAUAAAAAUCGUCUGAAUGGCUGAAUCGGUUAGAUUUUUGGGCUGAAUGAUCAAGUGUAAUUUUUUUUGUUGAAUGGGUUGAAUGAUUGCUGAAUGAAGUAUUUUAUAUUUAAUUUUUUUUACAAUAUUAACUAUUAUAUUAAGUAAUAUUAAAUAAAUUUACAACAAUUUUGAAUUUUUUCAAAGGGAUAUAAUAAUAAAAAUCUAUUAUUCAGAUGUCAAUUAUCAAACAACUUUUUUCAUUCAGGAUUCACAAUUUUGCUUCAUUCAGCUCAUUCAGAUUACUUAAAUAUUCAGAACUAUUUCAUUCAAUUUUAUCAAACACUCCGUUAGUGUAUUUGAAAAGUAAGAACUAAAAACGAUACCAAAUACUAGUUCAUAUACACUUGCAUGACAUUUGGCCCCUCUUUACUUAUUUUCAGGGCUUUUUCCUGGGAGGAUGGGAUAAUUGUACGUUCUGCUUGAAGUUGGGACAUGAAUUUAUUGUGCAAUGCUUAGCUAAUUGAAAGUACUGGUAGAAGAUAAAAAUUCAAAAUUAUAAUCAACACCCCCACAUAUUUGUGUGUCCUGUCCAGGAAAUGGAGGCGAGUUUGGUGUCUAUCCCUGCAAACACUAUCCCUAUCAAAGGCGAGGUUAGAUGAUCAAGUAGUUCAGAACAUUCGGGAUACCAACUUUAACGGUGUCAAGGAAUGUAUUGGCUUGAAAAAAGUAUGGCUCUCAAGCUAUAACUUGAAUACAGUAAAGUUGUUUGAGUGCCAAGGGCUUGAGAUGGUGGAGAUUUUUGCUCCAAAUCUUAAAACUUUUAGUUUAAUGGAUAUGCCAUGCGAGAUUGAAUUGCCUGUCUCAAAAAAUCUGAAGCAGUUAGAAUUAUUUUGGAUGCACCUAACCCGCAACGUGCUUCAAGACUAUAUUUCACAAUUUUGAGUUCUUGAAUGUUUGAUGCUGGUUGGGGGUGAUAAGUUGGAGUAUAUAAAUAUCUUGAGUCAAACACUCGAGAAACUUAAUCUGUUUCAAUGCCAUAAGUUGGUCGAGAUUAAGAUUGAUACUCCAAAUCUAGAGCAUUUUAUGUAUAGUGAAGGCAAUUUUGUGUCUUUAGAAACAAGUAAUUAUCUGCAUCUGGUAAAAGUAAUUUAUCGUUGUGUUAAAUGAUCCUGAUGUCCUUGAUGCCUUGUGGUUCCACAAAGUGAGUCAAUUUCUUGCUAAUUUCAAGCAUAGCAAAUUGUUGACAUGGGGUUAUAACUCAGAUUAGGUAUGCUUUGUACUGAGAAUUUUCAAGUGUUUUAUUUUUUUAAUUAUUUUUUUUGCCGUAAGUUUGUAUGUGAGUCUUGUAUUUAUAUAGAACGUUAUUUAAUAUUUAGUCUGACAUUUUUAUACAUGUAGGAUGUAGUCUUUCCAUAUGAAGUUAGAGAAUCCUCAUUUCCGCCACUCUACGGGCUGAAGCAUUUGGAAGUAAUAAGUUUAUCACCAGUGCAUUUGGUGGCGUGUGUGGAUAGCAUACUUUGGACUUCUUGUCUAGAGAGAGUAAAGAUAAUGUGGUUUCGCAAAGUAAACGUUGGGUACGUAUUUUUCUUUAGAUUAUAAUCCCUCCGUUCCAUAUUAUUUGGAAAUCAACUUAAGAUAUUUUUAAAUUUAAAAUUGUCAUACAUUCAUUUACUUUUAAUUAAUACAAUGAUAAAUAUUAUAAAUUAUUUUAAAAGUAUUACUUAUUAUUUUAUAAUUUUUAAUGAGUCAUCUCAAUUUUAAAAUUUUCAAAAAUUGACUUUUAAUUUAAAGCGGAGGGAGUGACAGGUUUCUAGCAAGGCACACAAAAACACAACUAGCCAAACUUAGGCGAUGGUAAAAUUCGAAUUAUGUGUUUUGUUCCAAUUACAGUUGAAAUAUGUGGAGAAGAUAUUAACUAGUCAUGCUGUAAAAAUCAUCCCGUCAAAUGGUUUCUCGAUCUCGAAUACACCAUAGAACUAUAUUAGGAUUUAUGUUUUUAAUUAUGAUGGAGGAGUGACGUACUUCUAAAUUAACCAACUUGUUUUGAGAUUUUAAUCUUACAGUUGAGUGGGUAUGGCAUUUGGUU